GCGGUUCUCUGUAUAUUUUUCAAGCGACGACGACGACGUAUGAGCACAGCAUGCUGAUGACUGACUGGGCAUUACCUGACGCUGAGGAGCGAAAGUGUGGGGAGCGAACAGGAUUAGAUACCCUGGUAGUCCACACCGUAAACGUUGGGCGCUAGGUGUGGGACUCAUUCCACGAGUUCCGUGCCGCAGCUAACGCAUUAAGCGCCCCGCCUGGGGAGUACGGCCGCAAGGCUAAAACUCAAAGGGAAAAUUUCCCGAAUUGACGGGGGCCCGCACAAGCGGCGGAGCAUGCGGAUUAAUUAGUAACGAAGCUAACGCGUGAAGUCGACCGCCUGGGGAGUACGGCCGCAAGGUUAAAACUCAAAGGAAUUGACGGGGACCCGCACAAGCGGUGGAUUAUGUGGAUUAAUUCGAUGCAACGCGAAAAACCUUACCUACCCUUGACAUGUCCGAGAGCCCGCAGAGAUGCGGGUGAAAGGUUGGGCUUCGAGCGGCUAUGCGCGGACUACUGACGACGCAUGCAGCAGCGAGCAUACUGACGUCGUCAGUCGACGAGACUUAUAUAUAUAUGGGGCAGCCCCGACGACGCAGCAGACGAGAAUCUAUAUGACGCGCGCGCGCGGCGCGCGGUAAUGCUGACGUCAGAUCUGAUG
rnacentral:rRNA from 1 species